AACCGUUAAAGGCUUCCAAGCAUGAGGGUGACAUGAUGAGAUCUGCGCCUCAAGAAGCAAGAAACCAACUGCCUUUGUACAUCAAUCAAGCAGAAUCGAUUCUGAAGUUUAUCUCUUCACAGGAUAUGACAGGGACCUGCAGCUGAUUCGUGAGCUGCUCCUCGCUCCAGCGAUGCAAUGCUCGGGGAAGAGACCUGUGAGGUGCUGCGAGAUGGGAGGGAUCCAACUGCUCGAGAGAGCGGACUUGCAUCACCACGAAAACACUGAGCACAGACCAGCCUUCGAAGG